AAUAAAGAAAUAACAAGUGAGAACAAACAAAACAAAAAUGAUCACAUAAAGAAAACGAUACGCCACUUUUUGUGCCAUUCUCUCUCUCUCUUCUCUCUUUUUC
rnacentral:ribozyme from 13 species